rnacentral:ncRNA from 1 species
CCCUAAAUGACCGCUCAGUGAUAAAGGAGGUGGGGGUGCAAAGACAGCCAGGAGGUUUGCCUAGAAGCAGCCACCCUUUAAAGAGUGCGUAAUAGCUCACUGAUCGAGCGCCCUUGCGCUGAAGAUGAACGGGGCUAAGCGAUCUGCCGGAGGUGGGGGAUGUCAAAAUGCAUCGGUAGGGGAGCGUUCCGCCUUAGAGGGAAGCAACCGCGAAAGC